GACGAACGCUGGCGGCGUGCUUAACACAUGCAAGUCGAGCGGAAAGGCCCUUCGGGGUACUCGAGCGGCGAACGGGUGAGUAACAUGUGAGUAACCUGCCCCAGACUUUGGGAUAACCCUCGGAAACGGGGGCUAAUACCGGAUACGACACAGCUUCGCAUGGGGUCUGUGUGGAAAGUUUUUCGGUUUGGGAUGGGCUCGCGGCCUAUCAGCUUGUUGGUGGGGUGAUGGCCUACCAAGGCGACGACGGGUAGCCGGCCUGAGAGGGCGACCGGCCACACUGGGACUGAGACACGGCCCAGACUCCUACGGGAGGCAGCAGUGGGGAAUAUUGCACAAUGGGCGGAAGCCUGAUGCAGCGACGCCGCGUGAGGGAUGACGGCCUUCGGGUUGUAAACCUCUUUCAGCAGGGACGAAGCGUAAGUGGCGGUACCUGCAGAAGAAGCGCCGGCCAACUACGUG
rnacentral:rRNA from 1 species